rnacentral:piRNA from 1 species
UUCNGCAGGAAGUAAUGUAACAAUGCCACCC